GACCCUGUGACUAUGUCUUCUGAAGGCAGCUGGAGCACAGCCAGAUACGACUUUUUUGCAGAUUGCCCCAUGUGGUGACCUUUCUCUGCAGGGUGAGGGGGAGUUCUCUUCCUAGAUCUAGCAUCAGUAAAGGCUGUGUGGGAUUAAUAUGCCCGACAAUCCUAUCCUGUUAUGUAUCACACAAAUAUGGCGAGAAUUGUUGGCUCGGGAUGGUGCCUGGUGGAAUGACAGCAUUACGGAC